AUGAACUGAGCUGAAGGCAAACAUUUAACCAGCUGAGCCACCCAGGGAAAGGUCAGAGGGAGGCUUCAGUAGGCAUGAAGCCUACUGGAAUUUGGCCUACAGUGGACAAACACACAGAUCUUCGUCGCUACAAAAAAUAUCCCUUGAUGUUGCCCCAUCCAUUCAAGCCAAACCUCAGAGAGCCCCAGGAAGGAGAACUCAUAGAUGUUUACAGUGCUGGUCAGCAUUGUUUAAAAGGUAGGAUGGCACAGGUCAGAAAGUCCUAUGAUGGCGCUCUGAACUAAUACUCAACCUGUAAAAGCAAACGUCAUAUUAUAAUUCCUUAGUUGCAGGCUUAGAAAAAAGAACAACCAAAAUUUUUGCCAGUUGGAAGAUGAAAAUGACAUGGAAAGGACGCCACUGUAUCUAGCUUCUCCAGAGUGGACAAUCCAAGAGAGAGCCAGACAGAAGCCACAGCGUCUUUUACAGCUCAGCGCUGGAAGUCAUGGCCAUACCUUUCUGCAGUGUCUGUUGGUUACACAGGUCAUCCCCAUUCCGUG